UACAGGGGGCUCGAGCGUUAGUCGGAAUCACUGGGCUUAAAGGGUGCGUAGGCGGCUCAUCAAGUGUUUUGUGAAAUCCCAUGGCUCAACCAUGGAACAGCAGGGCAAACUGAUGAGCUUGAGGCAGGUAGGGGCUGGAAGAACGGUUGGUGGAGCGGUGAAAUGCGUAGAUAUCAACUGGAAUGCCGAUGGGGAAGCCGUCCAGCUGGGCCUGUCCUGACGCUGAGGCACGAAAGCGUGGGGAGCAAAAGGG
rnacentral:rRNA from 1 species